rnacentral:rRNA from 1 species
UACGAAGGGGGCUAGCGUUGCUCGGAAUUACUGGGCGUAAAGCGCACGUAGGCGGCUUUCUAAGUCGGGGGUGAAAUCCUGGAGCUCAACUCCAGAACUGCCUUCGAUACUGGAAAGCUCGAGUCCGGGAGAGGUGAGUGGAACUGCGAGUGUAGAGGUGAAAUUCGUAGAUAUUCGCAAGAACACCAGUGGCGAAGGCGGCUCACUGGCCGGGUACUGACGCUGAGGUGCGAAAGCGUGGGGAGCAAACAGG